AACACCAUGGGGUUUUUUUCCUUCCUUUUGGAAUCUGAUUGCUUUUUAUAAAUGCCGGAAAGACGGAACAAUAAUUACCAUAUGUCAUGCUUAGCCAACCAUCCACAACUACAUGGUCCCUGCAGAGUAAUUGCACAAGAAAGACAUGUGAAAACAAACAAACAAACUCAAACCAGCUUAUCAAGUAAAGAACAUUUGACAGACUUUUUACACACAGACUAUGUCCUGUUUUCAGAUGUCAAACUGAAUAAAAACAGUUUUAAGUGAGGCAAACAUUUGCAGAAGAGCCCUUGAAGGAAUCUUAGGUGUUCUCCUAGAAAAAAAGAAAACAAUGAAUCAGAGAUACUUCUCAGUUCCUCACUCAUAUUCCUGAGAGUCAACCUUGUUUUUACCUUCCACUUUGCACAAGAACGCUUCAGAGCAACCCAUCUUCCCAAACAGCCUCCUCAUGUCCUGGGAUGUAUGGAUGAAUUUAACGACUCUGAUCUGCUGUGGUGCAUACCCCAGUUCACUAACACGGUACAGAGGUUAAUGGAGAAGAUGGCUUUGGCUUCCUUUAUGAAAGAUUUUACCCAUGGAUUAUUCCUUGAUUGGCGUUAUUUUUCCCCGAUCCAUCUGGAGAGUCAUACAUAACGAUGAUUACUUUCUUCAUUCUGGCAGUUGAUCCUCUUCUCUAUUUGAUAUUAACGAUAUAUUUUGAGCGAGUUUUGCCUGGCUUAUAUCUUGACAUAUAUGAAGGACAGAUCACUGUAAUACUGGGACACAGCAGAGCUGGUAAAUCGACACUGCUAAACAUUCUGAGUGGGUUGUCUGGUUCUACAGAAGGAUCAACCAUUAUUUGUAAUACUCAACUCUCUGAAAUACUAAUGUGGAAGAAAUGAGAAAGAACUUGGGAUUUUGUCCAUAAUUCAAUAUUCAAUUUGACUUUCUUACUGUGAGAGAAAACCUCCGGCUAUUUGCUAGAAUAAAAGGGAUUCAGUCAGAGGAAGUAGAACAAGAGGUUUUGCUACUGGAUGAACUGACUGCUGGAUUGGAUCCUUUUUCAAGGCAUCAAGUUCAAACCUUCCUGAAAGAGCAUAAAACAAACUGCACAAUCCUUCUUAGUACUCAGAUCAUGGAUGAGGCUGACAUCGUGGAUAGGAAAGCAUUUCUGUCUAUAGGAAGCUGAAAGGGCAGGGUCAUCUUUGUUUCU